rnacentral:tRNA from 1 species
ACCGAAAUAGUUCAGUUGGGAGAGUGUUAAACUAUAGAUCGAAAGGUCCCUGGUCCGAUCCGAGAUUCGGCA